GCGGCCCCGAGUCCGCUCUCUCAAAAAAGGGGCCCGAAUCGGCAUAUCCCGUCGGCUUGCAUGACUGGUCUCUGGUGGUGCUAUGCGCUGGCGGCCCCGAGUCCGCUCUCUCAAAAAAGGGACCCGAGUUGGCGUACCCCGUCGGCUUGCAUGACUGGGUGGUGCUAUGCGCUGUGGGCCCCGAGUCCGCUCUCUCAAAAAAGGGGCCCGAGUCGCUGCUUAAAUGGGAUUUUGUGGCAUUCAUGGGGACGCGGACCUCGGGGAGAACCACUGUUUUUCACCAAUUGCCAAUCGGCUUCUUAGCACCAAUCAGGCAAGCCAAAAACUUGGAUUUACAAAAUACACUUGGCAACGAAUGCAAAGCAUAGAAAAUGAUGGCAUACCCCGUCGGCUUGCAUGACUGGUCUCUGGUGGUGCUAUGCGCUGUCGGCCCCGAGUCCGCUCUCUCAAAAAAGGGGCCCGAGUCGCUGCUUAAAUGAGAUUUUGCAGCAUUCAUGGGGACGCGGACCUCAGGGAGAACCGCUGCUUUCCACGAAUUGGCAUUCGGCUUCUUAGGACCAAUCAGGCAAGCCAAUCAUGCAACCAAUCCCCAUGCGAGUUUACAUGGUCGCUUGAAUCCUGCUUCGGAACAAAACUAGUGCACUUUCUGUAGACAGCACAUUCCAGCAAGCAGCGAUGACGCGCACACACGUGCUCAAGUUUCGGUCGCCGGUCGUCCCGCAGCACCACUCCUGUGCACCCGCUCGUUUCGGGUACGGGGCGCGAAGCGGCUUACCGGAUGCAGCUUCCCCCCGUCUGCUCGAAUUCUUCUCCAAGAGCAGUUGAAAAGGAAUGUCUCUAACACCAUUUGAAAAAGAAAAAGCUUAACUCUGCCUUUUGCGACAAUAUUUUGUUUCAAUAAUGGAGGCAAACACAAACAUCUUCAGCUGUCGUACAGCGAGUCUAACCUUGGCAAAUUCAGGCAGGUCGUCAUCAGGUACAAGCAAAGGUACCACAGCACCCACAGUUAGCGUUCUUCCAGAGACAGUAAUGGAAUCUACGUACUGCAUAUCUGUCAUAUUGAAACAAGAGCUCCUGUAGUCUGUCCUUCAAAAGGUCCGGCAACAUGUCUGGAUCCAUUGCUUUGCUCUCUUUAACAAUCAGUGGUUCCUGAGGUUGUGUCAAAGCAUACAUAAGAUGCAUAUAAUGUCGGCGACAUAGUGUUGCAGAAAUAUUCUUGAAGUUGUGUAUUUUCCUGCUGUUAGACUUAAAAAAUUGAUGCUUCGCUUCGAAGCGUAUACAAGACAGUUUGCAAAGGGGGCCACAUGAAAGCAGGAGGCUAGGAUAGUGAAUCACAUAGUGCAUAUUAGGGAUAAUGUUGGCAUCUAGAAAAUUUUCCCUGAACGCUUUGUAAAAGUCCUCAAUGCACACCUUUAGAUAUGCAGCAGCACCUUUGGGCACCUGUGGUGCAAGAAUGAUGUCUACAAUAGCACGCAGUUCAAGGUAUAUUUGAUAUGCAGAAUUUUCCUUUGGCACUUCGUCACCCACAAGCAAAGAGAAGAAACGAAAAAAGAUACAGCUUUUCAGCAGCUGACCCCUUGAUGGUUGCUUUUCCAGAAACUGUCGCACGUGUCAGGGGGGGGCAGUCUAGACUUUUUGUCACCUGCCUGAAAAGGAAAUUUGGCAAGUCGCUCAUUUAACUGCUCCAGAGUUAAAAAUCCACUCGAUACAAUGCGCUUGAUGACAUGUUUCAUGACAAAAGGAAUGACGCCUUCGUAAAGGUCAUGCAUUACAUCUGGUGGCAAACCUUGGGUGACAUCAAAUGAAUUCAGAGAGCUCAAGCAACUUUCACCGGUAACACCAUAUGCACUACUUAGAGUAGGAUCCUGCUUGAUGAGCUCAACGUGACGAGUGUGUGCUUGUUUCGUUCUUAUGACAAACUCUUCUUCGUGUCAUUUGUCAUUAAUUUCAUCUCUGGUUGCCAUGCAGUAGUGGCACAUGAGGCCAGAUGAGAAACAUUCUCGAAAACCACCAAGUUGGUGGCUUGACAGGUUGUCGGCACAUACAAACAAAAGUGACCCUUUCAUUACUGUUCCAUUUAGGUUAAUGCCAUUAGUUUCAAGUUGCUGCAAGUCUUUCAGCAGUGGCUUGAGAAUUUCCUGAAAACUGAAUUUGUUAAAAUGAGAUAUUUGUCAUCAAGCUUUGAACACGAGUGCGGCGUAUGAUUUAAGAUUGUUAAGUAUCCGGCGAGAAGUUUGUGUUUGCUACGUUUGCUACCGAGAGGGUUACACACUUCAAACUCGUCAAAAUAUACUUGAGGGGCCAACAACUUCUCAGAGCCAGCAUCUUUAAAUAUUCUGUGCUCCUUAAAAUAGCUUCCAUCACGUACAUGCCGCAAGAGGGUUGCGGAUUGCUUGAAUUCUCCAGAAAGCUUUUGCACUCCAGCAACGGCUUGUAUGGUCUUUAGAAUAGGAACAUAUUCAAUGUGUUCAUCUGGGUUACCUGAAAGAUGGACAGUUUGCGGAGACACAAAAGUAAGUACACUUUUCCAAUAAUAUUCUCGGCCAGAUUUUGUUCCAAGGUGCUGGAGCCUUCCCAUUUCGACUGCGUUCAAUGUAGCUUGGAAAUCUGUAAUAAAGUGGAGAAAAUCAUUGGCAAUUUCAUUUACAGUACUCUCUGGCAACUGUCCUCCUUCUUGCCACUUCAACAGUAGAGAGGACAGAGGCAUGGCACAUUGGUCAGUAACAUCUAAAAGUCGCUGUUGCUUCUACAUCCCUGUUGAGGCUCCUCAUCAGCAAGUUCACAGACUUCACUGGGCUCAUCCGUUGCAUCAUCACAGAGUUCACUGUGAAAGACUUCCUUUCGAACAAUUAGGCCUGGGGUCUGUCCCCCCUCCCCCCGAAAAAAAAAAUCCUGGCUACAUGCCUGACAUGAUGUGAAACGAAAAAAAAACAAACAGAGAUGCAGCAUUCAUAUGGGGAUGGAUUACUGGCAAAACUGUAUUUGCAUUGCUGCUGUCAGCAGCUUUCCAUUUUGACAACAGCAAUGCAGAACUGCCAGCCAUCUGUCACACAUCUAAAUCUGUAAAAAAAGCAUAACGAGGGCUCACAUACUUAUUGCCUCCCAGUUCAUAGAUGUGCAAUAGGUCAUAAAACUCUCCAUAGUGAUGAGCAUUUUCGAUUAUUACAUUGUGAGCCGAGCUCUCAACACCAAAGCUUGAAAAUGUUCAUCGAAAUAUUUUGUUUCAAGAAUGGAGGUAAACACGAACAUCUUCAGCUGACAUACAACAGUGAGUCUAAGCUUGGCAAAUUCAAGCAGGUCGUCAUAAGGUACAAGCAAGGUACCACAGCACCCACAGUUGGCGUUCUUCCAGAGACAGUAAUGGAAUCUACGUACUGCAUAUCUGUCAGUAUUGAAACAGAGUUCCUGUAGUCUGACCCUCAAGAGGUCAGGCAACAUGUCUGGAUCCAUUGCUUUGCUCCCUUUAACAAUCAGUGGUUCCUGAGGUUGUGUCAAAGCAUACAUAAGAUGCAUCUGGUGUCGGCGACAUAGUGUUGCAGAAAUAUUCCUGAAGUUGCGUAUUUUCCUGCUGAUAGACUUAAAAAAUUGAUGCUUCGCUUCGAAGUGCAUACAAGACAGUUUGCAAAGAGGGCCACAUGAAAGGAGGAGGCUAGGAUAGUGAAUCACAUAAUGCAUCUUAGGGACAAUGUUGGCAUCUAGAAAAGUUUCCCUGAAUGCUUUGUAAAAGUCCUCAAUGCACACCUUUAUAUAUGCAGCAGCACCUUCGGGCACCUGUGGUGCGAUGUUCUACCACUUAGGAAGGAGGCAAUGUACGCGAGUAGGAGACCACUCACUCCAAGAGUUCGCACCGCGUCCAAGAUAAUGGGUUGUGGCAGGGAGUCUAAAGCCGCCUAUAUAUCCAGGAGGACAAGGUAGCCGGCCUCUCCGUUGUGUUGCGCCUCCUCAAGCAUUGAGAUGACGUCGGCAAGCGCAGUCGGCAGUGGCCCGUGAGCGGCGGAAUCCACCCUGUGAUGAUGAGAAGACGUCCAGUGCUUCGGUGAUCCACUGGAACCUCCGUAGCGCCAUGGCCUCAAAGAGUUUUCUCGCCGCAAAUGUUAGCGAAACCGGACGAUAAGACGGCGGUUCUGAGGCGGGUUUGCCCUUUUUCAGCACGGGAAGGACGAUGGCCUCUAGCCACUCUUGUGGCACAAGUACACUGUAGCACAAGUCCCGAGCGUCGCACAUCAUUGUAGGCGGCCAGGAGGGCUGGGAGUUGCAAGUCGUCGAGGUUUCGAAGCAUCUGGGUUGCCCAUGCCGUGCGUGACAAACUGUGCACAUACUUCAUCACUGAGGGAAGAGUGCCAUGGCAGGAGAGACACGUAAAAGAGUGCAGAUGGUGACCAGCGAAAGGUGUCGCUGCUAGCAGCUGGAUGCACAGGUGUGGUGGUUGAACUGCUGGUGCCUGCGUCAAGCUCGGACCACUCCACUUCAAGAUUGUCUGUGGCAGGCGGUUCCAGCUGUUUGUCAUCACUCGAUCCUUCGGCGGACACUUCAGAUCUGUAUCAAGUGCAAAUAAAACCAUUUCUUGUGUCAAUGCAUACAAUGGUACGAUGACUUUUU